UCAUCAAAAUGAGUCAAGGAAAACCUUGUUUAAACCCCAAGGCAGCAAUAAUAUGCAAUACAAUAGAUACGCCAAUAAAAGACACUCAUUCGUUUCAUAUCAAAAUAAUCAACGGCAAACAUUGUGUGAACACUGUAAGGGAGGUCAUAAAUUAAGAUCUGGCGAGAGAUUCAAAAAAUUACCCGUUUCAGAUAGAAAAAAUCUUGUCCGUCAACACAAACUUUGCAUAAACUGUCUGUUGAAUUAUCAUAUGAUCUCAAAGAUCCUUUAUAUCAGCAAAAGCUCAAAAUCGGAUAAAAUUGCCAACAAAGUAUUCCAAUUUCCAAAUUUCGGAAAUGGGCGGAAGAGUAGUCCAACACUCGGCACAAUUCCGAUUACUAUGGCGCCGCGAUCUGAUUACACCGUUGGAAAGAGGACGUCCUCCCGACUCAAAAAUAUAUAGGGUAAUAGGUACCGCAGACGCCUAGUUUUCGAGAUAUUCCGCUUUAAAGAUAAAAAAAUCAAAAUUUUCACACAAUUUAAUACACUUUAACACAUUUUACGCACAUUUUUCACCUCAAAUAUAUUAAAUAAAACUGUAGGCGUUGCAUUAAAUGUACAUUUAACUUUUAUUAUAUAAUUUUAAAGUCAGAAUUAUAUGUUUCAAAAAUCACUUUUCACUCUCAAAUUUAUGUGUUUACAAUUAUGCGGAAAACGAAAAAAACGGAAAAUUUUGCUAACACUUGUAUUGGAUUGACCAGAAAGGAGUUCUACGCGAAAAAACUUCGAACACACCUGGUUUUGGCUCGACCAGGGUAAUUUUUUUUAAAAUGUUAAUAGUGUAAAUUUCAAUAUGUGAAGUGAAAAAUGUGAAAAAAUAGUGUUACAGUGUGUGAAAUUCCAUGUGUUACUUAUAGAAAAAAUUGGACUUUUAAACAUGAAUAUUUUAAAAACUAUCCAAGUCCAAUUAAGAAUAUUUAUAUAUAUUCCUGCUCUGGAGAGCCUCCUCUUUCACCCGAUACCCCAUUUAUACCGUUGUCAAACCAAAGUAAUCGGAAUCGUGCCCAAAACUCAAAUAAAAUCUGCCCCAUUACCUAAUUUCACCACUAAUGGAUAAGCGCAUUCAAGCAGAAGCUAUAGUCUUACCGCAACUUACAUACAUUCUUAGAUGCUACGAAAUAAAAGCCAGCAUUUGGAUAAGAUUUCACAUCGGAAUCUUGCAACAGCCCAGCUCCACUAGAGAUUCUAUUAGGCAGGAACCUUAUUCCACAAAUUAUACUAAAAGAUGUUGACAAAAAUAUCAAACACCCUUGUUUAAUAGGGGGCAUAGCUUUUCACUACUUUUGGACGCACUCUGAUAAUAUACAUAGUAUAUGUCCGAAAAACAAUGAAACACGUAUAUUCCGCUGAUACAAUUUAUAAUAUUUGUCUUUAUUAGAUUUUAUAUGUUUUAGUUAAUUUUAUAUUUUAAAUAUUAGUUUUAUAUAAAGGUGGAUGAGAAAGAAUCGGUUGGUGCGAAUGUAGCGUUUCGUGGACGUUGUCGAAUUAAUAAUCUGCUUGCUGCGACGAGUUGCCGGAUGGAUGGUGAAAACGAAUGAUGAUACGAGAAUCGGAACGCAUGUCGAAAAAGAAGAAAUCGCGGGUAUAAUUGACGAUCCUUUCUAUUCCCUUUUGUGUGGUGAACGGUGUUGUUGUGUGUGUGAGUGUGUUGAUGUGACAGUUUUCUUCUGUUCUGUGGUGAGUCUGGUGAAUGUUAUGUAUCAGUGGUGUGGAUUUGGAUAAAUGUUGUAUGUCAGUGUGGUAUGUUGAUGCUUAGUGAGUGUGGAUGUAUGUUACAGUGGGGGGAUGAGUGAGACUCAUUUAAACAACCCUACUAGCUCAAAACACGAUAUUGUACAUAUAUAAGUGGGCUAGUGGCAGAAACAGAAUCCACCUUGACAACUCAAGUUGAAGAAAUUUCCAAUGAAUACCUUAAUUCACAAUUAAGGAAAUUUUGGGAGAUAGAAGGACUUCCCCCUAUAUAAAAAAAAUACCAGAAGAUCAGUAUUGUGAAGAUUUCUACAAAGUCACAACUACUCGAUCAAAGAAUGGUCGGUACGUCGUACGACCAUUAAAACAACAAUUCCCAAACACACUCGCCUUAGGUCACUCUCGCACCUCUGCUAUACAACAAUUUCUAAUUAUGGAAAAAAACUACAUAGAAAAGGUGAACUGAAACAUGUUUAUGAUGGGGUCUUAGAAGAAUACCUCCAUUUAGAUCACAUCAUGCGAAGAAAUCAUUAAAGGCAAAUACCACUCAUUCUACUUGCCUCAUCAUGCAGUAGUGAAGACAGACAAAAAACAACAAAAGUAAGAGUUGUAUUAAAUGCAUCUAGAUCCACAAGCUCUGAGAAUUCCCUAAAUCAUAUUCAAUUUACGCGACCCACACUCCAACCAGAUUUAAAGCUCCUCAUAUUAAAUUGGCGUAUAUACAAAUACGUAUUCAAUGGAGAUGUCCAAAAAAUGUAUCGGCAAAUAGCCGUACAUAAAGAUGAAGAAGAUUUUCAGCAGAUUGUUUUCCAAAAAUCUUUCAAUAGUCCACUACGCGACUUUAAAUUAAAAACAGUUACCUUUGGUGUGAACUGUGCACCAUACUUAUCCACUCGUACACUCCAUGAACUGGCAGAAGACUGUAUGUAUGUACGUAUGUGGACGAUAUUCUGUCUGGAAGCCACAGUCUUCCACAAGCAUACGAGUCUUUAUCACAGGUGAUAAAUGCUCUCAGAACGGCAGGGUUUACCUUAAAAAAGAUCACAGCUAAUCACCCAAAUAUCUUAGAAAAUAUAUAGAAAGACAAUUUGUUGGAUAAUAAUUUCCUUAUAUUCGAAAAGGGAAGUACAACAAAAACACUAGGCAUCCAAUGGAAUGCGAUAUCUGACCAGUUUUCAUACACUACAGAGUCAAUAUCCGCCAUAACGGAGGGACAAAUUUUAUCCUCUGUGGCAAAACUUUUCGACCCCGCAGGAUGGCUUACACCAAUUAUGAUACAAGCAAAAAUUCUGAUACAAGAAUUAUAGCUAGACGGAACCGACUGGGACGAACAAGUGAAAGCUCUUCGUUUAAAAAAUUGGUCCCAGUUUGCUACUACUCUGAACGACAUUUCGUAGAUACAAAUUCCACGGUGGAUAGACUACUCCCCCGAAUACCAAGUAGAACUACACGGCGUCUGUGACGCCUCUGAAAAGAUAUAUUAUGGCACUAUCUAUGUGCGCACACAAAACGAUACCGUAACAACAAGUCAUCUACUAGUAGCAAAAGCAAAAGUUGCUCCUCUAAAAACACUAAGAACUGUGUGGCGCCCUGCUACUAGCAAAACUAGUUUCUAUGGUGCAGACCCAUGUAAACAUGGCGAAAUACAAAUUAUAUCUAUGGUCCGAUUCUGAAAUAGUUUUAGCCUGGUUAGAAAAGCCACCACACGCGUGGAAGACAUAUAUUUCUAAUCCAACGUCUCAAAUACUUGAUCUAGAAGGAUCAGCCACUUGGCGACACGUGGCCAGUGCUGACCUAGGUACAAGAGGAUGCAAACCGUUACAUCUCGCCACCACCACCCUCUAGAACCUCCUGAUUCUUGGCCACAAUCGCCCACGCGCAACAUAAUUGCCCCAGAAAAUCGUCACUAAUAAUACAACACUGGAUGACGCUGACAUCCUUCAACGAUUCUCAUCGUUCCCCCGAGCGCUCCGAGUCGCCGCUUAUAUGCUUAAGUUCAUCGAUCGACUUAAACUUAAAGUUAAAGGAGCAACUUACAGCCAAUGUUAUACAUUAACGCACCAAGACUUACAAAAAGCAAAUGUCGCUCUUAUAGCAGUUACGCGCUACUUCGGUCUCGACAUAUCCAUACUUAGAGGAUCGAAGCCGAUUAAUAAACAAAAGCUCAAUCUUAGUUCUAAACCCAUUUAUAGAAACGAAAAGUCUACUUCGGGCGAAUGGUCGGCUGGCUAAUUCAAGCCUAACAUAUAAUGAACUCUAAUUAUCCCAGAGAGGUCUCCAUUCUUCUUCUUCUUCUUGACUGGCGUAGACACCGCUUACGCGGUUAUAGCCGAGUCCAAAACAGCGCGCCACGUAUCCCUCCUUCUAGCAGUUUGGCGCCAAUUGGUUAUACCAAGCGAAGCCAGGUCCCUCUCCACCUGGUCCUUCAGCCAGCGUAGCCGUUGUUUUUUUAUUCGCUGGACUAUGUCUAUGUAGUCGAAUAACACAUACAGCUCAUCGUUCCAUCGUCUGCGGUAUUCGCCGUUGCCAAUUCUUAAAGGAACAUAAAUCUUCCGCAAAACCUUUCUCUCGAAAACUCCUAGUGCCGUCUCAUCGGAUGUUGACAUCGUCCACGCUUCUGCACCGUAAAGUAGGACGGAAACGAUGAGAGACUUGUAGAGUUUGGUUUUUGUUCGUCGAGAGAGGACUUUACUUUUCAAUUGCCUACUUAGUCCAUAGUAGCACCUGUUGGCAAGAGUGAUUCUGCGUUGGAUUUCCAGGCUGACAUUGUUAUUGCUGUUAAUGCUGAUUCAAAAAUAUAUAGGGUAAUAGGUACCGCAGACGCCUAGUUUUCGAGAUAUUCCGCUUUAAAGAUAAAAAAAUCAAAAUUUUCACACAAUUUAAUACACUUUAACACAUUUUACGCACAUUUUUCACCUCAAAUAUAUUAAAUAAAACUGUAGGCGUUGCAUUAAAUGUACAUUUAACUUUUAUUAUAUAAUUUUAAAGUCAGAAUUAUAUGUUUCAAAAAUCACUUUUCACUCUCAAAUUUAUGUGUUUACAAUUAUGCGGAAAACGAAAAAAACGGAAAAUUUUGCUAACACUUGUAUUGGAUUGACCAGAAAGGAGUUCUACGCGAAAAAACUUCGAACACACCUGGUUUUGGCUCGACCAUGUACAAAAAAACGGUCAUUUCAAUAUUUGGUAUGUGUAUAUCUAUUUUUUAUAUUUAUUUAUAUAUAUUCUUAAGGGUGAAUUGACAAAAGUACCCGAACCUCUUGUGUAAGUGAGAUCGUUCAUCCAUUUUUUGCACAUUAUAUUUAUCAGUUAGCAAUAUAAAUAUAGCUCGUGCAAAUAACACGUUAACAUUCAUCACUGUUCUUGGUACAAUCACGGAUGAAAGGCCCAAAACUGCGAACGAAAACGAAACGUGCACUUUCAGUAUUGCAACAUGUCCUUGUAAAGCGAUACAACAACGGUAUGAGGAUUCAAUACAAGAAUUUACUUCAAUUUACCCUCUGAUUACGGUUGCCGUUUGACUUUAUAGACCAAACCUAAUUCAAAACCGAAGAAAGCGGGGGAGUAUGGAAGAAAAAAAAAAAUGAAAUGAAUUAAAUAUCGCUAAUUUACAUUAAUAGUGUCAUAACUAAAACAUUAGAUUUUUAAGUUGAGUGUGCAUUAUCAUUGUCCAUAUUGUGUAAAAAAGCACACUCUAUUUAGCCCACUUGUAUUCAGCAUUUUAUUUAAUAUAAUACAUACCACUAGUUUAGUCAAUAAAAAUAUAGCAUUUUUCUAUAUUUGCUAAAUAAGAGACAACUGAAAACUUUAAACCACUUUCCUGAAAAAUCCACUUUCGAUUUGUGACACUAUUCAUGUAAAUAAGCGAUUUAUUUUUCCAAAAACAAAAGAAAUAUAUGUACAUUCACUUUUAUAUUUAAAACAAUAUUUUGCCGACCAUAUGUAAUGAGGGUGCCUCUUCGACGAACAGAGUUCCUUGGCCAACAUUAUAUUAUUUAACGCAUUAAAUUCAACAGAGUCAUCACAAAGUAAAAUUUAUACGAGCAACAGGAGGAUAUACAUAUAUGAUUGCUAUCUUAUCGAUAUUUGAUUUCAUCUCUGCAGUAUGCGAAAACAAAUUUAGAUUUAUCUAAAAAAUUAUCUAAAAAAUAACCACAACUAAAUUGCGUGAAAUAAGUGAAAAAGUCCAAUUAUUUUUUACAAUUUAAAAUUAUAUUGGCGCUCCGAACCCCUCUAUUGAUGACGACCCCUGCAAACGUCUUAAGGAUAAUGAUUUAAGGGCAUGCACCUGGAAUGUCCGGACCCUUAAUUGGGAAGGUGACUCUGCCCAGCUGGUUGAUGUCCUCAUACGACUAAAGGCUGACAUCACUGCCACCCAAGAAGUGCGAUGGACGGGACAAAAUUUGUCCUUGUGACAUCUCCUACAGCGUCAUAUAAGGGAGCGCAAAUUUGGUGUUGGAUUUUUGGUGGGAGAAAGACUCCGUCGCAGAGUCCUGGCAUUCACCCCGGUGGAUGAACGACUAGCCACAAUCCGCAUCAAAGCGAGGUUCUUCAACAUAUCACUUAUUUGCAGCCACGACCCAACGGAAGAGAAGGACAAUGUGAUCAAAGAUACUUUCUAUGUGCCCCUAGAACGCACCUACGAGCGCUGCCUCGCCAAGAUGCCAAAGUCGUGCUUGGUGAUUUCAGCGCUAGUGUGGUUAAAGAAGGAAAUUUCAGCCUCUAUGACGAAACAUCGCUAAACGGCCUGACGCUGAUCGACUGUUGUGAUAGACGGAAGACAUGUCUCCAGUGUUUUAGAGACGCGUACGCUCCAUGGACCAAAUACAGACUCGGACCAUUAUCCAGGUGCAGCGAAGAUAUGAACCGCCUCUGUGCAGCAAAGAACGCCCGUUAACAAACACAAGGAAAGUUCGACGUCGAAAGGCUGCAAUCGCAACAGACAGCCAAAAAUACUCUACUCGACUUGCACUCCUGUUCUCUGAGAGCGCUCAUCAGCAUCUCGGUAUAAGGGAACUGUGGAACUGCAUCUCAAACUCCGCUGCAGCCGAAACAAUUUGAUUUCGUCGGUAAGAAAACAGACUGACUACCCCGCAACGUUGCAAACGAUCACAACACGUGCGGAAUGGGAUAGAUACCGAGUGAAGAGGGAAGAGAGACGAAUUUGAAGAGCUUGAGAAGCUUGCGACAGAGGUCAUGCUCGAAAAUUUUAUUAAAAAAGACUCAAGACCGGAGCGUCCUUAUGUAGAGACCAAUGAGGUAAUCUGUGGGCCGAUGUGGGCUAAGCCUCCUAAAUACCGCAUAUAUAACUAACUGACCAGUUAUUCACCAUGCGUCAAAUCUAUGAGAAGAGCCUUGAAAAGACGAUCGACAACAGCAAAAUCUCCGUUAUGAUUGGGAAGGACCCCUCCGAGCCGUUCGAUUCCAAACGGGGUUUCAACAAGGUGACUCACUAUCAUGUGACUUCUUUAACUUGAUGCUGGAAAAAAUAAUACGAGCUACAGAGCUAAAUAGAGAAGGCACAAUCUUCUAUAAGAGUGUACAGCUACUGGCGUACGCCGAUGAUAUUGACAUCAUCGGAAGCAACAACCGCGCCGUUUGUUCUGCUUUUUCCCGCCUGCAUAAGGAAGCGAAGUGAAUGGGUCUGGAGGUGAAUGAGGAAAAGACGAAAUAUCUCCUGUCCUCAAACAAACAGUCAGUGCAUUCUCGGCUGGGUCCCACGUCACUAUUGACAGUCAUAACUGCGAAGUCGUAGAUAAUUUUAUUAACUUUUUAGUUUAAACUAAAUGCGUUUAUUUGAAAGGGCGAUCCUUCAAAUUGGUGUCAGGAGUGGUUUGGUAGAUAAAAGUUUUAAUUAAAUAUUACAAUUGACAUUUUACAUUUCAAAAGAGAAGUGCUCAUAAAGUUAUAAAACAAAUCAAAAUGUUUCCGACAUAUUACCAUUUUAAUCAUUUUUAUAAAAUAUAAAACGUCCGCUGAAAUUGUACAUUCGCAAAAUAUAUAAAGCAAAAGUAACCGAAUAAACAUAUAGACGUAUAACGGUGACAGAUAAGCGGAGAAGCAGAAAAUUUUAAGCGACGUAAAUCGUUGCAUGAGCGUAUCAAGUCAGCAACAAGCUAAAUCCAGAAGAAACAAUAAAGUAAAGCGAAGAAAAUAAGUAAAGCGAAAGGAUCAGAAGAUAAAGAAGCAGAGUAUUAAGGCGAGCAGCAGGAACGCAGGCCAGAGAACUUAUAACAACGAGAAUGAGACGAUUGGCCUUUGAUGUGAUAUGUCCAUGCUUUGAAAUGAUUUAUCGAGGAAUGACCAUGAUUUUUUAGUAAUGUUUACUGAUUAAUAGGAUUUUUUAACUCUUAAAUAUGAUUUUAAAGGAAUUUUUAGAAUAUAUAAAAAAUAUAUUUAUACAAUAUUGCAAAUGCCGAGACGUGAACCCAAGAAGUUGUACUGAGUUCACAUUUGAUCACAUCAUCAAUUCAUAACGAGGGUAACUUUGACAAAAUUGUUUUCUAUACAUUGCAUAUGAUUACAGCUUAGCAAAUUUUGGAAUACGCACUCCCCAAUGCACUUUUCUUAAGCUAAACAUAACAACCAACUAAUUCAAAAUUGCAUCCCAAAUAUUUUUAAAAAGGAUAUAUGCACAUAUUGAUAUGCUCUGCGGGGGAGCAAAAGACUGGGGGAUGUGUGAUGGGAAAGGGAAUAUAUAGCUCUGCUCUCCGAUUAUCAAUUAAGCUCAUUUACGCGGGGCACUCCCUGUUUGCUUAGCGAGGUUAACGAGGCUUUGGCGCCGAGGAAAGGCGGUAUAAUCUUUUCUUCUACAGUCUGUUGGUUACCCAGAGGAUACUUGGUCUAAAACCGGCAGUCGUGACAUGGUUCAACCAUGUGGAGAAGAAUCGUUUCGGGCCACUCCCAAGUGAAUGACAAUCAAAAACAUUCCUCACUUACGUGAACUUCUACACAUGAUCCCAUCCUCGGCGUGUAUGUACACCCAAAUAUUAAUAUUUUGAAUAAGGAAUUUCAGUCGGAAAGUUGUCGGUUGUAAUCAUUUUAUUCUAAUAUUAAGUAAAUAUUCCUUCAUAUUUUAAGUAAUUUCAUUGGCAACAAAUUUUGAAACAAUAUACAUAUUUAUUAAAUAUAAAGAUACGAAAAAUCGUAUUCAUGUAUCAAAAAUAUUUGUUGAGACAACUGUGAAGAAUAUGUAUAUUAAAAGUAAAACUAGCGAUAACGAAAUAAGUGAUAAUCAAACAAACGUUCUUGAUAUAUUGAAAUAUUGAUCUUUAGACCAAAUCAAAUCGAGAUUUGAUUUUUACCGGGAAGAUUUGCAGUUUUUAAAUAUUAUAACACCAAGUAAUGUUCUUUUGGAAAAAGAACCAACCAACCAUUAAUUCAAAAUUUAAAAAUUUAUUUCUGUGAUCCCGAUAAGAUAAUAACUCAAUGGAAGUUACUUGGGUUAAGUGAUAAUAAUUUAAAGAAAGAUAUGGAUAUCAAUAGAUAGAUUUUGGAGUACCGUUGGUACCAUUAAAAAAUGCACUUAUAAAAACAAAAUUAAAGAACAUAUUAAAUAUAAGUUAUUUAAGUAGUAUUAUACAUUGUACAGAAUUAGUACACAAGGGUGAAGUACGUUAUGUAUGGUCAGCAAAAAAGGAUCUCUUAGAUAAAUAAUUUAUUACCUUUUAUAUUAUGUAAUAUGUCUAAACUUUAUGUGUAUGUGAUUGGCGUUGCAACCGUUUAGCCGGUUAUAGCCGAAUCGACGAUAGUGCGCCACCUGUCUCUCUCCUUCGCAGUUCGGCGCCAGUUGGAGAUCCCAAGUGUAACCAGGUCGCUCUCCACCUGGUCCCUCCAACGGAGUGGAGGCCUUCACCUUCCUCGGCUUCCUCCGGCGGGUACUGCAUCGAACACUUUCAGGGCUGGAGUGUUUUCGUCCAUUCGGACAACAUGACCUAGCCAGCGUAGCCGCUGUCUUUUUAUUCGCUGAACUAUGUCAAUGUCGUCGUAUAACUCGUACAGCUCAUCGUUCCAUCGUCUGCGGUAUUCGCCGUUGCCAAUGUUCUGAGGACCAUAAAUCUUGCGCAAAAUUUUCCUCUCGAAAACUCCUAGUGUCGUCUCAUCUGAUGUUGACAUCGUCCAAGCUUCUGCACCGUAAAGCAGGACGGGAAUGAUAAGCGACUUGUAGAGCUUGAUUUUGGUUCGUCGAGAGAGGACUUUACUGUUCAAUUGCCUACUCAGUCCAAAG